GCUCAAUAGCAUUCUGCCUCGUAGCCUUCGCAAUCAAUACUAAAUUAUCUGCAAAAAAAAGAUGCAAAACAUAGGACCACAGUUAUCGGGUUGGUACGUUUUGAGUGAUCAUCAAAUUUUGACAAGAUAAGCAAACAAAGGAUAAAAAGAAAAGCAGAGAUAGCGCCAACUUUGGUGAAAACCUGAAGUUGAGGUGAACUAGGGUGUAUGGGCUCCAUUGAUGACAAUUGAAAAGGUAGGACCACACGGCCAC
rnacentral:lncRNA from 1 species